AGCAGACCUCAGUCAUUGGCAGGUAGGCCCCCGAGGGUCCUCGUCCGGAUUUCUGGGUGUCCUCUCUCAAAGGCCCUGCGAUGCAGCGGGACCCUGAGUUGCCCUUUGUGACUCGUUUUUGCCUGCCACUCUGCGCCAGGUGCUACGUGCAGCCCCAGUGGGUGUUUGACUCAGUGAACGCCAGGCUCCUUCUCCCCGUGGCAGAGUACUUCCCUGGGGUGCAGCUGCCCCCACACCUUUCACCCUUUGUGACCGAGAAGGAAGGAGAUUACGUUCCACCUGAGAAGCUGAAGCUGCUGGCUCUGCAGCGGGGAGAGGACCCAGGUGAGCAGGAUGGGACUGGGCUGGCCUUGACCCCUGGGCCCACGCUGGCUGUUUCCCUUAGCUGCCAAGGUGGAAAGCUCCAGGGAACAGGCAGUAGGAGCAGAAAGCCCUUUGAAGUCACCUGUGGAGUAAGGCUUAGGAGAAGGGACAUCUGCCUCCUGGGGUCAGGUAUUAUUUGACGUUCAGGAUGACUGAGCAGAAGAACAUGCUGCAUUGUCAUCAGAGUUUACAUUGGAGGCGACAGAGCUCAGGACUGGGGGUCUUGGAAUUUCCUCUGAUGGCAGCUGGGCUGUGGGGAGGUGCAAGAGAGGGCCACAAUUGGGACAGCCCUGAACUGCCCAUGGCUAAAGACGGCAGGGUCAGAGAGGAUGGGGCCUGGGCCUGUUGUCACCCUGCCAGAGAGACAGUAGAUUCCCAGGGCAUUCAGAGGACAUUGGCUUCUCUAGGAAACCUGAAUGAGUCAGAAGAGGAGGAGGAAGAGGACGACAACAACGAAGGUGAUGGUGAUGAAGAGGGAGAAAAUGAGGAGGAGGAGGAAGAUGCAGAGGCUGGUUCAGAAAAGGAGGAAGAGGCCCGGCUGGCAGCCCUGGAAGAGCAGAGGAUGGAGGGGAAGGUAGGGGGAGCUGCAAUGUGGGGCUUGGCCUGGGAAGCAGCCCUGCUUGGUGCCUGCCCUGGCCUAGAAGGUCAGGAGCCAGAGGAUUGUGGAGGUCGGGAGAACCUGCCCCCACAAGCACCCUCCUUGUGUCCCCAGAAGCCCAGGGUGAUGGCAGGCACCUUGAAGCUGGAGGAUAAGCAGCGGCUGGCCCAGGAGGAGGAGAGUGAGGCCAAGCGCCUGGCCAUUAUGAUGAUGAAGAAGCGGGAGAAGUACCUGUACCAGAAGAUCAUGUUUGGCAAGAGGCGAAAAAUCCGAGAGGCCAACAAGCUGGCGGAGAAGCGGAAAGCCCACGAUGAGGCGGUGAGGUCUGAGAAGAAGGCCAAGAAGGCAAGGCCAGAGUGAGUGCCUGCGGCCCCUCACAGGGCUGAGGCCAGCCCCUAGCAGCUGGAUGUGGCAGAGGCAGGCCAGAGGACCUAAGUGUGAUGGACCAGAGUCACUUCUCUUCUCCUCCUCCUUUCUCCAGCCAGCCCUGACCCCUCAUGCUCUCUGGCUGGGCCAGUGGGCAGCCCUCGCUUCCCUUGGAUGGAGCUGCCCUGCUGGUGCCUGGUCAGAGAAGAGGCCUCUGUGCCCAGCCUGAUUCUCUGCUCCCAGGAGCCAGUGACAUGAGGUGCAGAGGCCCACCCAGCCCCCUACCUACUGCCCCCAUUCAUCCUGGCUUUCCACAGCCCCCUCCCACACAGUUGGACCCGUGAUUCUCAGGGUGCUGUGAUGGGGUGAGGGUGGGGGGAGCAUUUGUUAUUAAAUGACUGGACUUUUG
rnacentral:sRNA from 1 species